rnacentral:lncRNA from 1 species
UCCGUCUCGGUGGUCUUCCGGCUCUUCUGCUUCCGGCUGUGCGGGGCCUCGUGGUUUCAGCCCCAGAGGAGCCCCAGCCCCCAGUGGUGACAGCUCUUCCGUUGAGCGAGAACCAGGCGAGUCGGGUGGCUGGACCAGAAGAUCGUUCUGCAGGAUGGGCAGUCACCCGCUGGAGAUGAGCAGUGCUCUGCAGGGAUAACUCAGUCUUGACUUCAGCAGCAGUGAAGGAUCUGAGAGCAUCUCCUCGCUGUGCCAGGCUCCCGUCUCCACUAGAGGGUGUGAAGCUCCUGCCGAAUGGUUGAAUUUCACCGAAACCGGAAAACGGGGGAGACUUUCUUCCAUUAAUGGGCUCGGCGGGCAGUGAGGCCGCAGCGGGAUUACAUUCCCAUUGAAGCUCCCCGCUCUGCGCCUUGGCAGCAGCCCAGGCUGCUUGUGCGUUACACAACCCUCAGCUGGGC